AAUUUUUCAGACCCCUUUAACUUUUAUAUUGUUUUCAGGGAGGUGAGCAUACUCCAGAAACGACUCGAGGACUCUUGUGCAGAAGCCCAAAGGUGGAAGAACGACUAUGAAUUGCUGCAGGCCAGGGUCGCACCCUUCCAGUUGCAGCUGGAGCUUUAUGACGUUGAGAGGCGCCACCUGGCAGAGAGAAACCAGGCUACCGAAUCGGAGCUGUCCAAGUUGCACCACAAGUUCUCUGAGCUGAUGGGUCACCAGAACCACAAGCAGAAGAUCCACUACCUCACCAAAGUCACCGAAGAACGGCAGCAUUACC